CGGGCCGGAGCGUCCGUCAAGCGGGGGCCGAGGGGGCGGCGGUGGCUGGGCUGCUGGAGCUGGUGGCGCGGAUGGCGUCCGAUGCCCCAGCUUGCCUAGGCGGCGCUUUCCCGCCGCGGUGAGCCCGGACGUCCCGCGGGGCUGGGAGCCUCCUGUGGAGCCCGGGCGGUCGCCAGCCCGGUAGCCCGGAUGUCGCUGCCCCCGCGGCGGGCUCGACGCGCUCCUGGGCCCUGAGACGGAUCCUCUUAAAGGAACCGCGCAGCGCUCGACUGAUGCGGGUGGAGGGGGCACUUCUGCCCUCGGUGGGCGGCCCCCGCCCCAGGGAAGUCCCCCCUCUUCCGGCUGGGCCGUGGGGGAGCGGGCGCCCCCGCCCGGAUGGCCGCCGAGGGCCGCGGAGGCCGGGUUUCCCCGGGCCGGGCAGUGGCCGGUGGCGCCUCCUGUGAUUGGCCGAGGCGGAGGAGACGCAGGACAUUGUCUGGUCGCCGUCGCUGUCCUGCCCAGCAGCCUCUCGGGUCUCGGGGGGGUGCGGGGCAGGGGAUCCUCGCCGCCCGGUUCCCGCCGCCCGGGGUCUUUCCCUGCUGGGAACGCCGCGGAGGGCAAAUCUAACUUUUACAAGAUCACAGAUUCUGAGAAUGGCCUAAAGUAUCAAAGGACUGAGAAAAAGGCAAAGGAGUGAAAUAAGAGAUACCGUUGGAAAAUGGUUGGAGAGUUUUGAAUAAAAUAAACUCGGUAUUUGUUUUUUUUAAACUGGACAGGAAAAUUAAUGUAAAGUUAAAAACAUACUUGAUGCUGAUAUAGAUAACCUUUUUUAGCUUGUUUCAUGCCUUCUUCCAAAUAAUAAUAAUAAAUCAGUGAUUUCAUUUAAUUGAGCAAACAAGAAUUACAGACAUGGAAAUGACAAACAAAUGAAGGAAGGAAAGCAUCCAGAAAAGAAGAUAAAUUUAAUGGACAUGAUUCAUUGCAAGAGACAUGAUCUCAUUUCUUAUUAGAGGUAUGGAAAAGGGAUGAGAUGCAAGGAAAUUUUCCUGGCUUCUCACCACUCAUCCGUCAUAAUUUAGGACUAAAAAAGCAGAAUUCAUCAGCACAAAGAUACCAGCCAUCCCCAGAAAUGAAUAGUUGUAUGGGAGAGGCCAGUUUAGUUUGGAUUAUUUCAACUUCUAGUAUUCAAAUGGUUGAUAUUUAUAAUUAAACUGAUUUACCUUAAAAUGUAUUGAAUAAAGGAUUUCUAAUAAACACAUAGCAAGUAAUUGGAGAUUUUUCCCCAGCAAAGUCCUUGAGAUUUUUGCUUGGCAGCAUUGGUAUACGGCAAGCUCUCUUCUACAUGCUUUAACACAGUAUCUUAUUUAAUCCUCAAAAAAAAGUAGAGAGAUUUUAAAAUUAUUAUCCCCAUUUUAAUAUGAGGAAUUGAAGCUUCAGAGGUGAAGCAGCUCACCCAGGGUCAGAGAGUUGGUGGACAUAGAGCCAGAAUUCAGGCCUAAAAGUCUCUGACUCCUCUUGAAGUGUGUGGUUCUGCAUUUGCAACCACUCACUAAACAGACUUACUUAUUUCUAUGGAUAUGAAGAUUUUGCAGUUUAUUGAUUAUUAAUCCCCUGUUUAUCCAUUUGAUCAAUUUACCCAUUUAAACAUUUUUGCAUUAGCACUUUCAUUCAUUUAUAUUUCAGAUGACUACAGGAAUAUAAGAUUGCCAUCAAAUUUAUUUUAGUACAGAAGCCAAGUAUCCCUAUAAUUUUAUUUUUAAUUAGGGAAGUUGUGAGUUUACAAAACAGUCAUG